AGUGAACGCUGGCGGUAGGCCUAACACAUGCAAGUCGAACGGCAGCACAGUAAGAGCUUGCUCUUACGGGUGGCGGGUGGCGGACGGGUGAGGAAUACAUCGGAAUCUACUUUUUCGUGGGGGAUAACGUAGGGAAACUUACGCUAAUACCGCAUACGACCUACGGGCGAAAGCAGGGGAUCUUCGGACCUUGCGCGAUUGAAUGAGCCGAUGUCGGAUUAGCUAGUUGGCGGGGUAAAGGCCCACCAAGGCGACGAUCCGUAGCUGGUCUGAGAGGAUGAUCAGCCACACUGGAACUGAGACACGGUCCAGACUCCUACGGGAGGCAGCAGUGGGGAAUAUUGGACAAUGGGCGCAAGCCUGAUCCAGCCAUACCGCGUGGGUGAAGAAGGCCUUCGGGUUGUAAAGCCCUUUUGUUGGGAAAGAAAAGCAGCAGGUUAAUACCCCGCUGUUCUGACGGUACCCAAAGAAUAAGCACCGGCUAACUUCAUG
rnacentral:rRNA from 1 species